rnacentral:rRNA from 1 species
UACGUAGGGCGCAAGCGUUGUCCGGAAUUAUUGGGCGUAAAGAGCUCGUAGGCGGCCUGUUGCGUCCGCUGUGAAAUCCCGGGGCUCAACCCCGGGCGUGCAGUGGAUACGGGCUGGCUGGAGGCAGGCAGGGGAGAACGGAAUUCCUGGUGUAGCGGUGAAAUGCGCAGAUAUCAGGAGGAACACCGGUGGCGAAGGCGGUUCUCUGGGCAUUACCUGACGCUGAGGAGCGAAAGUGUGGGGAGCGAACAGG